rnacentral:sRNA from 1 species
CCUCCUCGGUCGCGAGACGCCCCUGGGCCAUGAUUGUGAGCUGCAACUGUUGGCCCGAUGUUGCAGGCGGAGACCCCAAUUGGCCGGCAGAGGCCUGCGCAUUCUGGGCCUGGAUGGCGCUCGUCAGAUCCGUGGCGGUGAGGCCUAGGGCCUGCAUCCGGUCUGGGUUCAU